CGAUUGUUUAUGUGUAGAACACAGUACUGAUGACUUGUUUUGAGAAUGCUUUUCUAGGCCUAAAUCAAAAAGAAUGCUGAGUCUACAUAAUGUUUAACUCGUUCAUACCAAGGACAUUAAGUAUCCCCUUGUAAUAAUAACUAACCGGAAGGAUUUACUGUCUAAAACUGAUUAAUUAUUUACAACCUAUAAGGUGACAAUGUUUGUAGGCCUACAGACAGGUUCACAAGCAGCACCAAACUCGAACAUUCUUUAGGGGUUUUCAGGAACGGACCAGUUCGGGAUUCAUUGGAGUAUUUUCUUGAGACGACUGAACUCCACAUGUCUGCUGGACAUACAGAUGUUGGCUCUAUGGCUUCAAGUGCAACGAUGUCUCCCUCCAUCAGUUUCCACCUGGAUGCUCUAGAUAUAGCCGUUGUUGUUAUCUACUUUAUAGUUGUCAUGGCGGUGGGGAUUUGGUCAUCAUGCCGAGCCAACCGCAGUAGUGUGCGAGGGUACUUCUUGGCUGGUCGUUCAAUGAGCUGGUGGCCUAUUGGGUCCUCUCUGAUGUCCAGUAAUGUUGGCAGUGGUUUAUUCAUUGGUCUGGCCGGCACAGGAGCAGCGGGAGGAAUUGCUGUUGGCGGUUUUGAAUGGAAUGCAACAUGGGUACUGUUGGCUCUGGGAUGGAUCUUUGUGCCGGUGUACAUCUCGGCAGGUGUGGUGACGAUGCCUGAGUACCUGGCCAAACGUUUUGGGGGACAGAGGAUCCGCCUCUGCAUGUCGGUUCUGUCUCUUGUACUCUACGUAUUAACAAAGAUAUCUACAGAUAUCUUCUCGGGUGCGUUGUUCAUCCAAGUGUCCUUAGGCUGGGACCUUUACUUAUCUACUGGUAUUCUGCUGGCGAUUACUGCUGUUUAUACUGUGGCAGGUGGCCUGACAGCAGUGAUGUAUACCGAUGCCCUGCAGACGGUUGUCAUGGUUGCUGGGGCCUUUGCACUGAUGUUCAUAGCUUUCGCAGAAGUCGGCUGGUAUGAAGGCCUUUUGAGCCGCUACCCCUCUGCAGUUCCUAAUGUAACCGUUGCUAACACCACAUGUCACUGGACACGCAGUGAUGCAUUCCACCUGUUGAGAGACCCUAUCUCGGGGGAUAUACCCUGGCCUGGUCUGCUGUUUGGACUCACCGUGCUAUCUACCUGGGUCUGGUGUACUGAUCAGGUUAUUGUCCAGAGGACACUGUCAGCCAAGUCCCUGUCUCACGCCAAAGGAGGGUGUAUUUUGGGAGGAUAUCUUAAAGUGCUGCCCAUGUUUUUCAUUGUCAUGCCAGGCAUGAUAAGUCGCGCCCUGUUUCCAAAUGAGGUAGGUUGUGUUGAUCCAGCAGUAUGCCAGAGUGUGUGUGGUACUGCAGUUGGUUGCUCCAACAUCGCCUAUCCUAAACUAGUAGUGGAACUCAUGCCGAUGGGUCUCCGUGGUCUCAUGCUAGCCGUGAUGCUGGCGGCCUUGAUGUCCUCCCUGACAUCCAUCUUCAACAGCAGCUCUACUCUGUUCACGUUAGACCUCUAUAACAGAGCCAGGCCUAGAGCUACUGAGAAGGAGCUAAUGGUGGUCGGCAGGUAUUGGUACUUUUGGCCCUGCGUGCAGGUGCCGAGUCCUGCUGGAAAAUGAAAUAAGCAUCUCGAUAAAGAUGGGGAAGGAAGCAUGAAGUGCUCUAAAACUUCCUGGUAGAUGGCUGCGUUGACUUUGGAUUUAAGAUUAAACACACUGGAUCAACACAAGAAGGUGGCUCCCCGUGGCUCCUCAAAUCAUCACUGAGUGAGGAAACUUAAGACUGAACUUCAAGCUACUUGAAUUCUGUGCCUCUCCAUUCUUCCUCCAGACUCUGGGACCUUGAUUUCCAAAUGAAAUGAGCAACAGACCAGUUCUCUUAGCCUAGGUAAAACGCUUCUGACGUUGUCUAUGGUUCAGGACUGGCUUGACACUAGGAAUAAGACAGUUGUAGAAGCUCAUGUCCUGGAUACGUCUGUGCGUGGUGGCUCUCGAUGCACUGACUCCUGCCUCAGUCCUCUCGUUGUGAAGCUCCAACACAUUUUUGAAUGGCCUCUGCUUGACCAUCCUCUCAGGGCAGCGGUUAUCCUGUUUUUUGUACACCUUUUUCUACCACACUUUCUCCUUCCACUCAACCUUCUAUGAAUAUGCUUGGAUACAGCAAUCUGUGAACAGCAUAUUCUUUAGCUAUGACCUUUUGAGGCGUAACCUCCUUGUGGAGGGUGUCAAUGAUUGUAUUCUGCAGCACUUUCAAGUCAGCAGUCUUCCCCAUGAUUAUGAAGCCUACUCAACCAGACUGAGAGACCAUUAAAAGACUCAGGAAACCUUUACAGGUUGUUUAUUCUGGCCAUGGUGUGUGUUAGCCUGGCGUGGAUACCGGUAAUCCAGAAGGCUAGCAGCGGACGACUCUUUGACUAUAUACAGUCAGUUACAAGCUGUUUAGCACCUCCAAUUACGGCU